GACGAACGCUGGCGGCAUGCCUAACACAUGCAAGUCGAGCGAGCUGAUCCCUUCGGGGUGAAGCUAGCGGCGGACGGGUGAGUAACACGUGGGCAACCUGCCUCAUAGAGGGGAAUAGCCUCCCGAAAGGGAGAUUAAUACCGCAUAAGAUUGUAGCUUCGCAUGAAGUAGCAAUUAAAGGAGCAAUCCGCUAUGAGAUGGGCCCGCGGCGCAUUAGCUAGUUGGUGAGGUAACGGCUCACCAAGGCGACGAUGCGUAGCCGACCUGAGAGGGUGAUCGGCCACAUUGGGACUGAGACACGGCCCAGACUCCUACGGGAGGCAGCAGUGGGGAAUAUUGCACAAUGGGGGAAACCCUGAUGCAGCAAUGCCGCGUGAGUGAUGACGGCCUUCGGGUUGUAAAGCUCUGUCUUCAGGGACGAUAAUGACGGUACCUGAGGAGGAAGCCACGGCUAACUACGUGCCAGCUGCCGCGGUAA
rnacentral:rRNA from 1 species